rnacentral:rRNA from 1 species
UCAAGUACGCUGGUUCCAAGACAGGGAGACAUUACAGUAAAUACGUGUUCUUCGGAAUAUGCAUUUUCAAACCCCUCUGUGUACCUUACCUGUUGCUUCCGUGCUGCGCGGAUUUCGGUCCCCUCCCUCGCGGGAGUGCCGGCACGGCUAACGAAAUUCUUGCAUUUCAUGUCAUCUGUCUGAACUGAUAAAUACAAAAAGUUAAAACUUUCAACAACGGAUCUCUUGGUUCUCGCAUCGAUGAAGAACGCAGCGAAAUGCGAUAAGUAGUGUGAAUUGCAGAAUUCAGUGAAUCAUCGAAUCUUUGAACGCACAUUGCGCCUCCUGGUAUUCCGGGAGGCAUGCCUGUUCGAGCGUCAUUAAAAUCAACUCGAGCCCUUUUGCUCGGUCAUGGAAGAAGAGUCUGCCUGGCAGUCUCCCCUCCGAAAUUCAAUGGCGGAAGGUCCCUGGUACCCGGCGUAGUAAAACAACGUUCGCUUUGUAACCAGAGAUGUUCCCGCCCUACAAACCCCCCUUUCUCGUGAUUGACCUCGGAUCAGGUAGGGAUACCCGCUGAACUUAAGCAUAUCAAUAAGUCGGAGGCAA